UACGGAGGGUGCAAACGUUGCUCGGAAUCAUUGGGCGUAAAGCGCACGUAGGUGGCCUGUUAAGUCGGGUGUGAAAUCCCUGGGCUCAACCCAGGAAGUGCACUCGAAACUGGCAGGCUUGAGUACUGAAGAGGGUCGCGGAAUUCCCGGUGUAGAGGUGAAAUUCGUAGAUAUCGGGAGGAACACCAGUGGCGAAGGCGGCGACCUGGACGGACACUGACGCUGAGACGCGAAAGCGUGGGGAGCAAACAGG
rnacentral:rRNA from 1 species